rnacentral:rRNA from 1 species
CACGUAGGGAGCAAGCGUUGUCCGGAUUUAUUGGGCGUAAAGAGCGCGCAGGCGGUCGUUCAAGUCGAGUGUGAAAGCCCCCGGCUCAACUGGGGAGGGUCAUUCGAUACUGAUCGACUCGAAGGCAGGAGAGGGAAGCGGAAUUCCCGGUGUAGUGGUGAAAUGCGUAGAUAUCGGGAGGAACACCAGUGGCGAAGGCGGCUUCCUGGCCUGUUCUUGACGCUGAGGCGCGAAAGCUAGGGGAGCAAACAGG